rnacentral:lncRNA from 1 species
GGGGCAGCAAGGGCGCGCUGGAGGCGGCGGCCAAGACUCCCGCCGCCGCCGCCGCCAACAGGGCGAGGGCUGCCGGCAACUCUCCCGCCGGGCCCCCGCACCCCCAGAAGCCGAGGUCCGAGCAGCCGCCGCUGCUUUGGGUGGGGGGCUGACAGGGCUGCGCGCGUCGCGCUCUUGGCUGGGGCUGCGCGGGCCCGGGGCGCUGCGGGCGGCUCAGCGGCAGCUGCCGCGCUCUGCGCCUCCUCUGGGCGCACUGCCUGGGAGCACGAGACUGGUUUGUCUGAUGCUGCUGCCGGAGCUGAGGUCUUGCCUGGAGAUCCGAACGAGACACCACGUCAACCGGCGCGGGGAGUCCCGUGAAGACAUGAGGGCGCCAGGAGCGCAGGCCGGGCUUUCCUCGCGCCUGUCGAAGGCCGGCCUUCCCGCUCGGGUGUCUCGCCCUCUCGCUUCUCCGCAGGGCAGGAGGCAGUGGCGAGAAAAGGAGCUGCCGGCCGGAGUUCUAGCACCGAGAAGGAGAGAUGAGGACAUUGAGGAUCAGAGAUGUUGAAAAACUUGCCCAAGGAUGCACAAGUGGAAUGGUAAAGACAGGAUUUGAAUUCUGACCUCUCUGACUCCGUGUCACAAACUCCUGAAAGUGUGAAAGGUUUAACACAAAUUCCUUCCCCGCUCUUUCUCUCUCUCCCUCCCCCCUCCAACUUUUCCCUUUCAACAAAUAUUUGAAAACUUACUAUGUACUGGGCACUAUUUUAAGCACCACAUAGCAAAGAAACAAUUUUGGUCCUUUUUGAUCCUGAUGAUCCCCCAUCCCUCCCUUAAAUGUUUUUCCUUCCCCAGGUCCUUCCCUAACUUUUGUGGGGCCCUGCAAGUGUAAAAACAGAGGCUCAUAUACCAUACCUAAAUAUUUAAAAGUGAUAAAUCAAGCUGGCAAAGUGUUAAAUAAAAGAUGCUCCAUCCUCCUGCCUUGAUAAAGACACUUGUGCACAAGGGCUGCUGUGCACUGAGCAUCUGUGGGUUUUGGAGCACCAUGGAGGAAUGUGGUGGCUCAGAGGGUGUGGACAUUUAGCCCAUGGCCUGUGGCCUGUCCCUCAUUUCUUCCCACCCUGGCAGUCCACAUAAGGGGGUGGUACACAUAUGUGUGUGGACAUCCUAGCCUACACAUCCAAGCUGUAUCCCACAAACAGCACCUCAUGGCUUAGGGGUGUGUGCACUGGCGGUGUGACCUGCCGUGGAGAGAAAAGGCCUGGGGAAAGCUCUGGAAGUGGACUUAAGACCACUUGGACAGGGGAUUCAAGGUCUCUCGUAGCCAAGACAUAGUCUGAAAGAGGAGAGGCAGGCUGCAGCCUCCAGGUGGGUACAUCUCUGUGCCCCUCAACUCUUCACUCCAUAGGAAAGGGCACAACCAGAGGAGUACUGUGGGUGCCCCUUUCCUGGGCCUAAGAGUAACAGCGCUCCUCCCCGUUCUAUUUUGUCUUCCAAAUCCCACGUUCACAUGUGGAUAUUUUUUGAGAUUUGGCCAUCUGAGGAUUUUUAUAAAGGAAAAUGUGGAAUUCAAACACUCUACUUGUUUAACAGAGAGCAGGUCCAUUGAGGUGGGCAGAUGUUAGAUGUUACUGGAAGUGGAGGAAUGGGAUUUUGGAGAGACCCGCUGGCCUCUCUGGAGCUACAUGGACUUCCCUGCAUUCAGCAGCCCUAGUCUACAGAGGGAGAAGCUAGGCUACCCCGGCCUUCUGUCUUGAGACCUUGAUGGGUUCAUCCCAAACCUCGGGAAGUGGAUGCAGUUUAGCAGGAUCAGCUCUGCGCCCUGUUCACUUCUCCAGCCAUGAGGACUGCAGCUCUGGAUAGACUCCUAAAGCACACACGAAAGCAGUGCUUCCUUUACUGGGCCAGAUUCUCCCCGGGGGAGCAGACAGAAGCCCUCUAACCUGAGCAGUAUGUGCUCAUGCCAGUGUGCAUUUUCCUGUCUCCCCUGGGGAAGGUUUAAAUCCUUUAUUUAUUAAGAAUUUAAUUUCUUUAUUUAUUGGUUUAAAUUCUUUAUUUAUUAAGCCUGCACAAUGUGAUAGAACACUAUAGCAGACAGUCCUCGAUGUUUAAUUCUUAAGAAAAUAGGAAACUAUGUAUACAUUUCCCUCCAUUUAAAUUCUAUUCACUUCUCUCUUUGUGUUAGGGGAGGUACUGAGGAACGCUGUUUUCAUUUGCUUUUACUUUUAAUAUGGUGUUACUCAGAACCAGUAGGGUAUAUCUAUUAAUAUAUCUGUAUCUAUAUCUAUAUCACCUAUAUCUCUAUCUAUCUAUCUAUCUAUCUAUCUAUCUAUCUAUCUAUCUAUCUAUCCAUCUAUCUACCUACCUAUUAUCUACCCAUCUAUAUUAUCUAUCUGUCUGUCUGUCUGUCUGUCUAUCUAUCUAUCUAUCUAUCUAUCUAUCUAUCUAUCUAUCUAUCUAUAUCUGUCUAUAGAUAGAUACAUGAGAGGGGAUUUUUUUAAGGUUUUAAUUUUGAUACAGGAUCUCCCUCUGUCACCCAGGCUGGAGUACAGUGGCACAAUCAUAGCUCACUGCAAGCCUCAAACUCCUGGGCUCAAACGAUCCUCCAGCCUCAGCCUCCUGAGUAGUUGGAACUAUAGAUACACACCACUGUGACUGGCUAAUUUGUUUAAUUUUUAUUUUGUAGAGAUGGGUGGAGUCUUGCUAUACCUCCCAGGCUGAUAUCAAACUGCUGGCCUCAAGCGAUCUUUCUGCAUCAGCCUCUCAAAGUGUUGGGAUUACAGGCGUGAGCCACCGCAACCAGCUGGAAGCUGGAUUUUUAAUGUUUCAAAGUAGAGCAAGUGGGGUCGCCCAUUAGGGAACACAUCCCAACACCUUUUCUCCUCUGGGUGGCUCCCAUGUUCAUAUCUCACAAGGUGCUCUGUGCUUCAGGAUGUCUCUGCAGUUGCUCUUCAGCCUCCUCUCACUACACGGGCCAAGGGCACUGUUUGAUGUUUGCAGCGUGUCCUCUUGCCUCCCUUCAACCCUUCAACUUAUCUCUUUCCAUUUGCAUUAUCCCUGGCCAGAUAUAUGCUGGGGGUCACUCAUACGGACUCACAAAGGCCAAUGUUAAAGUUUCAGGAAUGUUGUGAACCACUUAUUAAAUACAGCCAUUAUAAAAGUGAAAUGGCCUAAACUUACAUUUAAAUAUAUUUCAUUAAAAACAAAGGUAGUAAUAAUAAUAAUAAAAAUUCAUUACUUACAAAUUAUUUUACUAUAUGUUACUAUUAUCUAUGCUGUUGGGGUUAUUUCAGUCUAUUUUAACUGCAGGGUGGAAAUAUUGUAUAACAGUGUGCUCUGCUAUGCCCUUUUCCCAACUGUGUGUUUCAAAAUGAUGUCUCGUUGGAGCUUGAAAUCAGCCAUGGUUGUAGUAUUUAUUUCAUGUAAAUUGGUAAACAUUAUGAAUCAGGAGUCCCUCCCUUAUCCAGAGAGCCUGUUGUUAACAUUUACCAGCACACCAUGAUCUGUAGCUCUCAAAUCCUUAGAUCAGAGUUUCUCAGUUCUAGCACUAUUGACAUUUUAGGCCAAAUAAUUCUUUGUUUUUUUGGGGGUGUCACUUGCAUUGUAGAAUGUUGAGCAGCAUUUCUGGAUGCCAGUAGCUUCCCCUCCCCAGUUGUGACAACCAAAAAUGUCUCCAGAUGUUGCCGAAUGUUUUCUGGGGGAUAAAGUUAUCUCCACUUAAGAACCACUGGCCUAGACAACAUUAUCCUUUAAUGUAAGUGACUUGCUAUUCUUCCCUUUUAAACUUUAACAUGCAUCUGACAAAUAUUCAGUGCCCAUUAUGCAUGUAAAUACAAUGAUGAACAAGAUAAGCAUUGUCCCUGUCUUCAUAGAACUCCAGUCUAAAAUCAUGGACUAAGCUGGAAAUAUACUGAGUAUCCACUAGGACUAGAACAUGCUAUCUGCAUGCUAAUGUGCUCAGUAGGUGAUCUUGAUCUUUAUUAAUUCCAUUAACACUAAUUGCAACAUUGUAUAAUGUUUGCAUUUCCCCUUCAGGUGACUGUUGUCUCUUGGGCACAGGUAGCUGCCAACAGGUGAGCCUCUCAGCGGAUCCCUGAUAGAGGUAGGAUGGCAAAUAGCUUCUUUAAUAUGACAGCCUCAGUGUAGUGGCUGGCAAGGAGCUGCGAUUGGGAGGAACUGGAAGUGACACCCAAGCUCAUUGAGCAAGCAUGCUGUGAGUGCCAUGAGUAAGUAGUCCCAGCUGAUGAGCUUAUCAGGGGGUUGCCAGCGGGGGUACUGCCCAGGGUGGAGAUGGAAUGGGAGACAUAGCCAUACCUCAGAAGGAUAUGCAGCUCCUACGAGGACCUAAGUGGAGCUGGGUCAGCAUGGCCCCAGUAAGCACACAGCAGGCAGAUCAGCCACAGACUUCAGCAUCAAGGCCUUCCAGGGUGGGAACUAGAUGAACUGGAGGACAGGCCAGGAACCUGCACAUAUGAAUCAUGUGGGCCAAGGACCUUCCUCCCCUUUCCUACCACCAUGAAGCAGACCCUUCCCCCAGGAGUCAUCUUGGAGAAAAAUGGGAAAGUGGAGCAGUGGUAGGGGGCAGGGGGUGCUGCAAUACCAAAAUAUCCAGAAGGCAUUUAAAAUUAUUGGACUAGAUGACAUUUAAUUCUCCUUCUUUACUCAGUAAAGUGAAGAGCUCAGGAGAAAGAUUGGAUCAAUUAUAGAAAAUAAUGAAGGUACAUUUUCUUUGCAUAACUAAAUGUAGGGUAAGUACAUUUUGAAUUUGCUAAAAUUGUCUUUGCUCUGCCUCUGCACACGUGUGCACACGUGCACACACACAAAUGGCACUUCUGGGAGUUUUUCCUUGCUACCACCUCCUCUCAAUAAUCAAUGCUCACGAAAGCAUUUGUGAGAAAUGUGGAGUUUACUGUGGAGAUUCAAAGGGAAGAUGAUGGAGGUUUCACUGUAACCCCCACAACAGAUUCAUAUUCCACUUUGAUACUGUGUUCAUCAUUUCCAAUAUAUACCUUUUUCCUAGUUGAGUAUUUGAAAUCUUGGAAACCAGACUCUGUCUUGCUGUGUUGGUGUGUCAUAGUAUAAUUGGCAGCAUGUUUCCUUUGGUAGCAAUACAUAAGACAAUGGUGUGUCUUAUGUUGAUGUCUUCUUAUAUUUGAUAAAAUCUUUUAAGUCUACUGCUUUGCAGUCCUUCCUCAACUGCAAGCAGAGGCUUCCCCACUGAGGCCAUUGAGUAAAGUGGUUCAAAGUACAGUCUGGAGUCAGACCAUCACUUACUAUCUCCACCAUUCACAAGCCAGGUAACCUUGGGCAAGUUACUGAAGGGUUCAGGGGCUUUGUUUCCCUACCUGUGCAAUGGGGAUAAUAUUAUUAACUACUUCAUCGGAUUGUAGUAAGAAUUAAAUGAGUUGAUAUAUAUAGAGAAAUUGGAACAGUGUCAGGUGGUGGUGACUUCUAGAAAAGUAGUUGUUCUUAUACGUAUUACCUCUUUAGUCCCCUCCCACAUAGGCCCUGCCUCCUGUUACCUAUUGCUUUUUCUUUCCUCCCUUAUUUUAUAAAUAAUACUUCAGUGACCGCUGUUUGCUAUUUGAACACAACCUUGAGAUCUCUCCUCUCCUUCCCAAAUGGCUUACCUAAGUAUUUACUCCAAACAAAUAUGUUGUCUUUUAGAGAUACUCUGAUAAGUAAAGAUUGCUGUAUGUAGUAACAUAUUUUUAUCAUUAUUUCUGAUGCAUCUAUGGUAGAUGCAAGAGAUAGUAAGAUAUGAGCUUGACUGGAGCUGAGCUAGCUUGUUGGGGAGCAUUAGGAAAUAGGAUGGAAAAAAGAUAGGUUGGAGACAGAUGGCACUUGAAGAAUCUCCCCUUUGAAAUCUUUGGUAAAGUCUACAAUAUGAUACCUCUCCAUACAUCUCUAAGGAGGCUUUGUAUUUUGAUGACAGCCUUGAAUGCUAGGGACACCCAGCCACACGGGCUAACUCAUACAGGGCAGAGAGGACUUUCACCCUCUUUAAUUCACCGUGUAUGAGUGGCAAUGUUUCUUCCCAAAUAUAUGGCUGGCCCUAGGAGACAAGUCAGGGCAUGUGAGCUGUGGAUGUGAACUGAGAGAACAGUUGGGGCUUAGGUGAAAAGUGGAGAUUCAGGAACUCUUCAGAUAUAGUGGCCUUAGGGAAAGAUAGAUGUAUUAGGCCAUUCUUACAUUGCUAUAAAGAAAUACCUGAGACUGGGUAAUUUAUAAAGAAAAGAGGUUAUAUUGGCUCAUAGUUCUGCAGGCUAUACAGGAGGCAUAGUGCUGGCAUCUGCUCAGCUUCUGGUGAAACCUCAGGUAGCUUUUAAUCGUGGCAGAACGGGAAGCGGGAACAGGCAUGCCACAAGUUGAAAGCAGGAGCAAGCGAGAGAGAUUGGGGAUGGUGGUGGGGGGUGUUACAGACUUUUAAAUGAGCAGGUCUCAUAACAACUCACUCACUAUUGUGAAGAUGGCACCAAGCCAUGAGGGAUCUGCCCCCAUGAUCCAAACACCUCCCACCAGGCCCCUCCUCCAGCAUUAGGGAUUACGAUUCAACAUGAGAUCUGGGUGGGGACAAAUAUCCAAACUAUAUUACUAGGCAGUAACAAAGAGACACCCGGCCCUUCUGGGUUCAAGGUGUGCCACAGGCCUGCAUGUCCUCCUAAGCUUUUCUUAGGUGGUGCCAGAGUUUGAAUGGCUGCAGUCCUGGCAUAUUCCUCAGUGAGGCUGGAAAAAAUAAUCCACUCCUGCAAAUGGAAAAUUUCUUCUGUGUAGGGUGAGCACUUCCAGCUCCAGAAAUGAAACAUGCUAAAGGCAGCGUGUGACUUGGCAUGGGGUGACCAGUAACCCAACUGAUCGGUCCUCUAACCUGUUAGUUCAUUUUGCUGGUGAUCUUGUCCAUAAGGGCAAACAACUUUCUAGCUGGUCACCUUUGGAACAAAGUAAGAGUUUUUGAAAGAGGAUUUAAAAAAAUUCUUUUUUGGUUUGUUUUGGGUUUAAUGAGUCAAUGCUUUAUUUUACUAUGAGUGUUUAUAACCAGACCUAAAUGUAUGUAGGAUCUUGAACCUCCCCCACAACUAUUUCCUAUUUGUUCCCAGAAAAAUUCCAAUGCCAGAUUUUGCCAUAGCAACCAGAGGCAAAUAUCAAGACAGCAAUAAAGAGCAAGCUGGAAAAGGGUUUCCCUACAAUGUGGCUUGAGUUUCUGUAGGGCAUUCCAUCCUCCGUGUGGAGCUCUGGAAGGCAAGAGGGGGCCCUGCGGUUCCUCGUGGGGGGGUCUGGUAGAGUCCAGAUUUGCCAGCAUCCAGGACCCACUAGGAAAUGUGUCUGUCAGGCAGCUGGGCUGGAGCGGAAGGAUCAGCUUGCCUGCUCCUCGGGCUUGGCACCUGUUGUGUGUUGAUCUUUAUUUUUGUACGUCAAUUUUUCAAAAUUAAAGGUAUUGAAUUAUUAUUUUUCCAUUAUGCUUUUCCUCUGAGCAGUUUAGUAAACAAGCCUGUUCUGUAUUUCCUAAUUGUCCCCUCAAGUGCUCUUUGGAAGAAGGCAGUGCAUAUUUAAAAGUAAGCAAAUGAAACCAAAGAACAGGAGAUUCUUCCAAUAUCUGCCCACGAUGUCCCUCAUUCUGUGUCCUUCCUUUUUGUCAUGGUUGUUAGGUAAUGUUAGGAAGUCCCACUUCUUUCCCAUAGGUAAAGUCAUCUCACUACAGUAUAGCCUUCUUGCUGAAAGAACUUUGGGCUUCCGAGUUACUUCAGGUGCUGGUUUGGAUUAGCGGUGUGUUGAUAAAUGUUUAACAACUCGCUCGCAGACAUAAAAUUGCCUUGAUUUGUAGAGCUGAUUUGCUGAUUUCUGUGGUGUAAAUCCUCCCACCAUGGCAGAUUUCAUCUUACCAGAGUGACCUCAUGAACAUGGAACUGGAAAGAGAUGCACACAUUUAACUCUCAUGCACUGGUAAGAGCUGGCUGCCCCACACUGCUGGUUCUACCGAUCUAGGCCUGGGUUUCUCAACCUCAGCACUAUUGACAUUUUGGGCAGAAUGGCUGUUGGUUAUUGGUGGCUGUCCUGUGCAUUGUAGGAUGUUUAGCAGCACCUGUGGUUUCUACUCACUAGAUGCCAGGAGCAACCCUUCCCCACUAAGUUGCAACAACCAAAAAUGUCUCCAGAUUUUGCCAGAUGUCUCCUGAGGGGCAAAAUCUCCCUUAGUUCUGGGCUAUUCUGCACUGAUAGUGCUUAGAAGGUCCAUUCAGCAGGCAGUAGGCCUGCACUGUUAGCUUUUCCAUGAACCACUCUGAAUAUGCACCCAAAGAAGUUCUCUCUUGGCAUUUUGGAUGUGGUGCAUUAGUCUGUUCUCAUGCUGCUAAUAAAGGCAUACCCGAGACUGGGUAAUUUAUAAAGGAAAGAGGUUUAAUGGACUCACAGUUCCAGAUGGCUGGGGAGGUCUCAUGAUCAUGGCAGAAUAUGAAGGAAGAGCAAAGAGAUGUUUUACAUGGCAGCAGGCAACAGAGCCUGUGCAGGAGAACUCCCCUUUAUAAAAUCAUCAGAUCUCAUGAGACUUAUUCACUAUCAUGAGAGCAACAUGGGAAAGUCCUGCCCCCAUGAUUCAGUCACCUCCCACCGGGUCCCUCCCACGACAUGUAGGAAUUAUGGGAGCUACAAUUCAAGAUGAGAUUUGGGUGGGGAUACAGCCAAACCAUAACAUGUGGUAUUGCAAAACACUGAAAGUGUGCUUCCUUGGGUAGUCUUGAGAAGAGUCAUGCUGUAAGGACUUAAGGCACCAAAAAAUUAAGACACAGCAGGGCCAGUAGGAGAGCAUCAGGGUAAUUCCACUAUAGGAUAUAUCCUAUAUCCAUUAUAGGAUAGUUUUGACAGACUGCAGAGGUCCCUUAGGCAAACCUUUCCUUUGUAUGGGUGAGAAAUUAGACUCAGGGACAAGGUGUGACUUGUCCAAGGGCAAGGUGUGGAUGUGCUUGGACAGUCACAGGGGUGUUGUGGUGAAUGCUGUGAGACGCCUGUGUGACAUACUGGGAAUUAGAACUGACUCCAACUUGUAGCUAAAUGUGUUUUGCGGGCUUUUCAAUGUUGGGUUUGGAUGGAUAUAUUCUGACAUCUCCCUGUCCCCUACCUCUCUGUCCCUUUGGAAAUAUCUGCUUAUGAAAACCAUAUUAUAAUGAGGGAUUUCUGUUUCAGAUAGAAUUAUUCCCUUCAGCUUCAGGAGUGAGUUGAUUAUUCACAUGUUCUUUUUAGGGGGUUUAAGCUGCUAGUCCUUAAAGAAUAGAUGCUGAAGGUUGUCAUUGAUUCCUCUUUCCUUCCUCCCACGUCUGCUCUGGGCCUUCUCAUUGAUGUAGUAUCUUAGGUUACUUCCAAAAUAAUUUGAGAAAUGGAUUUAUAGAAGAAGCUAGCUUUCCAGUAGAAAAGUUUAGAUGACAAGAUUAAUGUGAUAAGAACUAAGAAAGCCCUUCCUAGUUUUCAUUGAAAAUGUGUUUUUAAUGCCCAGAGGUGCCCAGUCAAAAAGGAAAUAUUACAGAAGGAUUAUUUUCAUCAGCAGAGUUCUUGGGCAUUGCAAGUUCCAGUGUAAUUAGGGAAAUCACAUGCGAGUACAUCAAUACACUUCAGAUGCCAAUACAUUGGGCUUAAUGAGGACAACAAGCCUGCUUUUAUUAGGGGAUUGAAUAAAAGUGAAAGGAGUUCUUGAAAAGAAUUGGUAAUUUUGGAUGGGAUAAUUCAUCACUUCACUCCAGAUCAGUUUUUCACAGUAAGAAGUGCUGGCUCUUCAGAAAAUUUGGCAUAACCAAAGUUUAUUGUCACUAUCUCCUCCUUCUCACAUUGUCCUUUGUCGCACCCCCAGCAGGUCCACAGUGAUCCUGCGGGCCACCCCCAUGGACCCUGCCCGUUUUCUUCCAUCGGGGGCUAUCUUACGUCAGUCUUUCAAGGUCUCCUCAGUAAUGCAGGCCAGUUGGAUUUUUGCUUUCUUUUCCCAGAGGACAAUUCAGCCUCAGCGUCUUAGUCUAAAAGGAUUCAUGCAAGCGUGUCAGAUGUUUUAUUAGGCUAAGGGGGAGGUAUUUUGGGUUGUGGGGAGCACUUACUGCAACCCUGUAUGAAAUUCCCUACUCAGUGAUGUUCAGGCUGCACGGGCCAACAUGGAAAGGGCUUAAGGGAGAUGACAAAAACAAAAUCUCUUCUUCCACAAAGAUUUUCAGUUGAUCAAUUUUGUUACUUUUUUGUGAUGAAACUAUCUGCACUGCAGCUAAUGAUUUUUUUCUGAAGGUGGAAAAGGUAGGAGCAACAGCUUUCAGUUCUAAGGAUACAUUCUGUUGACCUUCAUAAGCCCUAGGAACUAGAGGGGCAAGAUUGAGGAGGAAAUAGAGAAAAUAAUUUGCUCUAUAGUAUUUUCCCCCUGAGCUGCCAUCUGGGGCUUUCAGAGCUUAGCACUGCACUCUUGCAAUGUUGCACACACCACAGGAGCAAUAUCAAGAGAUGUCAAACAUGAGUGGUAUUGGUCACUGGAAACAGCAGAUUCCAAAUAGCUGUCUCACCAGACUAUUCUUUCAGAAGAUUCAUUUGUGCCAACUACUUCUUUGUCAUGGAUCCUUCCUGGUUCUGCAACACAGAUGUGGAAAGUGAAGAGAACACGUCAUGGAAUUCCAUUUCUAAGAGUGGAAAAUAUACAAUUUACCAUGGGAUGUUUAAGAUAUUAAUAUAUUGUUCACCAUGUGUAUCCAGAGCUUUAGUAGAAGUAGGUUAAAAGAGCCGUGCAUGUAUACACGGUGCUCCUCAUUGUCAAACGCUGAAGCCUGUUACAGGCUGGGUUUGGGGGCUGGGGGUACUUACGGGACAAAGUCUGACUCUCGGUCUGUAGGCUGAGUGCCUUCUUAGUGUGUUGGGACUCAGCAUGUAUUCACCCCAUCUGUACUCACAAGCCUAAUUCAUUAAUCAGGAUGACUUACUGGGCUGUGAGCCCUUUGAGGACAGGACCUUGUACCUUUAUCUUGUGCCUCUCAUGCCUAGCAUAGCACCAGGCAUGUAACACGUUCUUUUUAAAAAAGUGUUUUACAGCUUUAUCAAGGCAUACAUGAUGUCAGAUCAACUGCAUGUGUUUAAAGUUUUACACUUGAUGAGUUUUGAUAUAUGUCUAUACCCGUGAAACCAUCACUGCAAUCAAGAUAAUAAACGCAUUCAUCCACCCUAAAGUUUCUCGUGUCCCUUUGCAAGCCACCCCCCUUCCUCCCAUUGUUCCCAGACAACCACUAUUCUGCUUUCUGUCACUGCAGAUGAGUUUGUGUUUUCUGGAAUUUUAUAUAAGUGGAAUCAUACAACAUGUACUCUGUUUUUCUGGCUGUUUUCACUCAGCAUAAUUUUCUCAAGAUUCAUUGAAGUUUUAUAUAUUAAUAGUUUGCUACAUUUCAUUGCUGAAUAGUAUUCCAUUGUAUAAAUCAUAAUAGGCACCUAACAAGUGUUUGUGGCUUUACACUGACUUGAAAAUUAAUUUUUAAGAAUAUAAUUGGGCAAAAAGUGGACAAUGGGAUACCACUCUAUUCUUGGUGAGUGGGUUCACUCAGGAAGUGGAAAUAAGAAUCAGGAGAUAAUUUGGCAUGGUAGAGACUUUUGUUGUCAUCCAAUAUCUAUUUUUCCUUCUUUCUUAGUACUGGAAUACCUGAGUUUUGGCUGGGCACAGAACUGUCUGGAAUACAGACUGCAAUUCCCAGCCUUCUGUGCAGUUCUGUGUGGCCAUGUGACUAAGUUGUGGUCAAUAUGAGUCACGGAAGAAUAGAAGAACAACUCAGAGGAGGAAGAAGUCAGACAUAGCCAGACACGGCUGCUAGCAGUUCCACCAAUGAAAGAGGAGACCAGGAUGUUUAAAACAGGCAAACACAAGGUGCGAAAAACCAGAAGCGAAAACUUCUGAGGUCAUUUAAGCAAGGACUAUCGUUAUCCCCGGAAGCAGAGAGAAGUUCCCUUUGCCCAACAUCACACUGCAAGCACGUGUUGGAGCUGAGAUUCAAACCCAGGCAUCCAGGGUCCAGGGCCCAUGCUUUUAAUAUAUUCCAUAUCUUAGGAGAAUUUCCCCUAUUUAAACAAUAAAAGUGCAAAAAUCUUGUGGCUAGCCAAAAUUUUCAGUUGUUUGGAAAACUUAUUUAUCCAAUAAGUGGAAAACUCACUUGUCCUCCAACAAUUCUGGAUAAAUGAAAGAACGAAUUGAACUGAGACUGGAAUCCGGGUCUCCCAGUACUUUGUAGUUCCUAUCCAUAUGGCUUGUCAGGAAGGCCACAGGGAGGUUAACUAACUCUGCGUAACCAGAAACAAUCCCACAUCAGACUGUUGGCAGUGGGAGUGGAACACUCAGAGCUGAACCGCAUGCAAGAUGGUUGCAUUUUCAUUUGCAAUGUCGUCAUCUUCCUCAUGGCUAAAGAGGUAUUUUGGAGUUGACAUGAAGGCUACUGUAAUUUUUAGAGGCAUUUUCUUUCUGGCCUGUAUUUACAUAUUGUGGUAGAAGAGUCAGAAGACUUCAAGCUUCAAAAGUGAAUCUUGUUGCGAGUUACAAAAGCACCACCCGGUGGGGUGCAGCUCUCAGCAUGUGUCACCACAGGCACUGUGAUUUCCCUGUCUUCAUCCAACUUUGGUUGCUGUUCUUCAUGCUCAGGAAUUCUGCAACUGCUGUAGCUUUUGCUGUUGUUAUGUCUGUAGGUAUGGACUCAUUUCUACCAUUCUGGAAUGAAACAUUAUUUCAAGGGAAGCUUCUCAUUGUAAAAGGUCCACACAUUCAGAAGGAAACUGGGAGUACAUUUUCUCAUAGGCCUGGAGCAUUAACUGACUAUGCAUCUUUCCCCUCAGUGUUGUCAUCAUGUUGUAAGGGGAUGAGUCAUGGACAACAUUUUCACACACAUACGUGAGGUCCAUUGACCAGUCUUUAGGACAACUAGAAAUCUUUUCUUUCUUUGUUUUAAAAAGGAAGACAAGUCAAGAUACAGCAAAUAAAAAUGCUCAGCACAUUUGCUGAAAUCUUAGCAAAAUCAAAUUACUAGUAAUUUGUUAAUCACACUAUACCUGUUUUGAGCCAAUCCUACUUAACCCACCCUCCAUCUUCCUCAUGCUUGCCUCCCUGGUGAACUCCUAUUUAUGUUACAAAGCUCAGUGUUUAUGUUACUACUUUUGUGCUAUUUCUGAACGUUAAAUGUACCUCUAUUAUAGAACAUAUCUCAUGGAAUAGUUAUUAUUGCAUAUCCACUGCCCUUGUUAGGCUGUGAGUGAGCUUUCUUUCUUUCUUUUUCUUUCCUUCCCUCCUUCCUUCCCUACUUCCUCCCUCCCUCCCUCUCUCCCUCCCUCCCUCUCUCCCUCCCUCCCUUCCUUCCUUUGCUCCUUCUCUCUUUCUCUCUUUUUCAUUUCUUUUCUUUUUUUUUAAAUUUGAGACAGGGUGUCACAAAUAUGAAUGGGACCUGUGAAUAUGAUGGCUGUCACUCUCUGAUUAGAUUACAUUAUAUGGCUAAGGUGAAGGAAUUCUGCAGAUGUAAUUAAGGUCCCAGAUGAGUUGAUAUUGAGUUACUCACAAAGGAGAUUAUACUGGAUGGCCCUACCUUAAUCAGGGAAAAGCCCUUAAAAGAGGACUGGGCCUUUCCUGAAGGAGGACAGUCCACUGCUGGCUUUGAAGCAGUAAGCAGCUGUGUUUUAAGGGGGCCUAUGGAGGGGCCCAUGUGGCAAGGUCCUGAGGGUGGCCUCUAGGAGUUGGCAGCAGUUCCCAGCCACUGGCUAGCAAGAAAACAGGUGGUUCAGCCACAUAGCCACAAGGAAAUGAAUUCUACCAACAAUCCAAAUGAGCUUGGAAGUGGAUAUUUUCCAUGGUCAAGCCUCCAGACGAACACCUUAACUGUAACAUAUGAACAGCUGAGCAGAGGACCUGCUUCAGCCAUGCCUGGACUCCUGACUUGUGGAAACUGAGAUAACAAAUGUAUAUUAUUUUAAGCUGGUAAGGUUGUGGUAAUUUGUUAUGCAACAAUGCCGAAUACAGUAGGCAUCUUAAAUGUUUGUUGAACUUAAUUUAAUCAGGGAAAUAUAAUAUUUAAAAGGAAUCUUUUCUAAAGUUUUAGCCAAUUUAAUGAAUGUAGAUAUCUUAAAGAAUUGCCAUCUUCCUUUGGAUCUUCUAGCCAUGCAAUCGACUUCACAAACUUCCAAGUUUUCAUAAAUACCAGCUUCUGAUUGUCUGGAAACAGGAAGUGAGAUUCUCUCCAGCCAUCAUUUGGCAUUCUUGGGAGAUAGAAUGGAUAAAAAUUGAUGUUGAAAUGAGACCACCAUCAUUUUUCAGUCUGCUCACCACGUACAGAGCUCAGGAUGAUUAGAAAAUGUAAAACACAUGUGAGUGGCUCAAACCCCUUUAGUUAAAUCACAUUUACAUAGAUCAGUUUUCCCAAGGGAUAUAAGUUAGCUGAACUUAAGCAAUUAAAAAAAAUAAAACUAAACUAAAACCUUUUGCUAAAGCCAAAAAACAUGGAUGAGUUAAACUGUAUCAGAUGGAAUGGUUUGUUUUGAAAAGUGUUUGGUUUGUUGUCUAUAUACGUGCGUGCUUUUUUAAAAGGCAGAUAGAAAAGCAGAACUUACAAGACCUUUAGCUGCUGAGGUGGAAAGCCAGUAUUACUUCUACCACAGCAGUUGAUAUCAUCGGUCUCACCAGCAGGUCACGGAUUUGUUGCUUGCUCCCUGUGACAAUCUUGAACCAUUGUAGGGACCUUGGCAUAUAGAGGGACGGUGAACAGGGCUGAAAACAAAAUUGAACUCAAUCUUGAGCUUGGUAUUCCACCGAGAGCAGGUUUUCUGGGCUUUGAAAUACCGCCUCAGAGAGACCUUCCUUGAUAUUCUGCCAUGUUGAGAACAAGAACAAACUUUUUGGCCCUGGAACCUCUUCCCUCCCAGUGCCAACAUGUUCAAUUUCAUUUGCCCUUGGCUAAAUGUAGCUUCCUGUUUCUAAGAAAAGAAGCAGAAAGGGGCUUUUGAAGGCCUCACAGACAGUCUCAGAAGGCUUCAUGGGCAGCAGACAACUCUUAGCAAACAACAAUUUGAUGAGUUAAGUGUAAACGGCUCAGAGACAUAUGGAUUACAUUUUUUGGGAAAUACACAUGGGCUUACAAUGUAAAACUGGGUAGUGUGGGGUGGGGUGGAGAAGGGAAUGCUUGGAAAAGUGUGGUUUGGGUCUUGCUAAUUGCAAAAUAUUUGAAACAAAUAAUUUGAGAUGUUUUGCUCAACGUACAGCGCGGUUGGAUUUGCCCUUUCCAUCUAUUUACGUGUCAUUUUCAGAUUCGGCUCACAUACCAAUACUGGUUUGGGUCUUGAGUUGAUUUUUAAAAAUGCAGUUAUUUUGAAAGGUCAUGCCAUGUGAUUUCUGUGUAGCCUCUGAGCAUAAAGGGUGGGGUGGUAUAGGGGAAGAACUGGGCAUUUAGAAACCUCUCUGCCUGUAGGUCAAACUGCUGCUCAGCUCUUCUGGUAUAUUCUACUUAUGGAGGUUCCAAAUCCAGGCUGUGUUAGUAAGAUGCAGCAGCCUCAGUCUCCCCACCUGUAAAAUGGGGACAGUAAUACUUAUCCCAGAACCCAUGGCGAUUGGGAUGCUGUGUGGUGUGGAGUUAAAGUGUGGACCCUGGAGGCAUAUACCUGUGCAUAUCCCAGCUCUGCUGCUGAUGUGAGCUUGGGCAAGUUCUUCAGCUUCCCUGGGCUUUUGUUUCUUCAUCUGUGUAAUGAGGAAUAUCUUAGCAUCCACCACAUAGGGUUACCUUGAGAAUUAAAAGAUUUAACCCAGUCCCCGGCACACAAUAAGUGUUCAGCAAAUGCUAACAGUGGCUCUUGUUGUUUAUAAUUUAUCUUGUUCUAUUAAGUAUAUGAAUACAGUAGAUAAUAAGGCAAAUUCACCUCCAGGCUGGGGAGAGGAAUAGCCCCUUACCAAACAGUGAGGGUCUCCUUCAGCUUACCUUCUUUUUCUUAUUGUUUCAACCUAUGGAUUAAUUACCUAGUUUUGUGACCCCAAAAUAAAAGGGUAGAUUCCUUGAUCUAAAAUUAGACUCAUCUUUUCCCUAUCCUAGGAAGGAUCCGUUUCUCUCUUCUAUUUUACCACUGUCUAGCACCUGGAGACACUUGGUUUAAGAGCCCAGCUAGUUUAUACUAGAGUGUGAGGGAAUUCUGAGGGCUCAGGUGGAAGGAAAGCAUGAUUCCAGAGUGUUGUUGGGUUAAUGCAUUGCUUCUCAACCCUUCCUGCACAUUAGAAUGAAUUGAGAAGCAUUUCAAAAAUAAUAGAAAUGUUAGUGUGGGGCUUCGGUAUUAGUACAUUUUUUAACUCCCCAGCUGCUUCUAUUGCGCAGCCAGGACUGAGAACCACCCUGGCUAAGGCAUUCAGUGGCAUUGUAGGUGCUUCCCUGGGUCGUUUCUGACUCGCCCCUUUUAACUCACUGGCCCCUCGGACUCUGAUUUCUGCCCUUCAUGCAGUGGGAGAGCUUUCCUCUGGGGCUUGCCUUGAGGUCUGCAGGAGCAAGGCCACUUCCUCUCUGAAUCCUAGACACAGGCUUUGGGUCAGUACUCCCACCCACGUGGAGCCCCCUUCUGCCCCUCUGCUCUGGGGGAUCUUGUCUGAAUCCAUCCCUUCUUUGCCUGCCUUAUGCCUUCUAGCUACUAUUCCUCUGCCCUUCCUUUCUUGAUCAGCACAAUUCUGCUGCUUUAAGUCCUUUUUUCCAUUAACCAUUGACUGCCCUUUGCUCUGUCAAACAUAGUUUUGGAGGCUGUGUAGUGUAGUGAAAGAACAGGGAAUUUGAGGUUGGACCUGGGUUUAACUCUCUCCUUGAUUGCUGACAAGUUACUUAACCUCUACUCAUUUGUAAACUAGGAAUAAUCUGACCUGGAUGAGACUGCUGUGAAGAUGAAAAGAGGUAAAGGAGGGGUGAUGGUGUGGUAGUGGUGGCCUGGUGAGAAUGACGGUGGUGGAGUGAUGGUGAUAAUGAGAAUGAUGAUAAUGGUAAUGGCGGUGUUGCGGUGAGGGUGUUGAUGUGGUGGUAGUGCUGAUUUUCGUGGCAGGUGAUGGCUAUAGUGAUAGGGGUGGUGGUGAUGAUGGUGGUGGUAGUUGUAAUGGUGACUGUGAUGGUGGUGUUGAUGAUACUGGUGAUAGCAGUAAUGGUAGUGAUGAUGGUAAUGAUGGUGUUAAUGAUGGUGGUUUGAUGGUGGUGAACAUGACAGUGGAGGUGGUUGUAGUAAUGAUGAUAAUGAUUUGGUGGUGGUGGUAGUUGUGGUGGUGGUGGUGAUGGUGGCAGUGGUUUAGUGGUAAAAGUUCAGUCAAGAAAGAAGAAAGCUGGAGGAACCAACAGUAUUCUGAUCAGAGGAACCACAUGGGAAGCAUUGACAGAGGGUCUUUGCAUUUGCUAAGGCCAUGGGAGUAGCUGGUUGUAUCAGUUAGCAUUUGAUCAGGAAAUCAGAGCUACUCUGUAUGACACGGAAUAAGGGAUUAAUCAUAGGGAUUAAACUUACCCAUUAUGAAAACUAGUAAAAAAGUCUAGGCAAGGCUGUUGCCUCUGUAUCUGGUGUUGGGCUUGACGUUUCUUUGGGUCAGCAGGGCUUACAGAUGGGACAGAAAGUGGAUGGAAAGGGGAGAGCAAGAACAAACUGGACCAUGUCUCUGACUCUCACCACCUGCAGUGGUAACACAGUGACCUGCAGGAAAAGCCAAUGCCUCUCAUCUCAGGCCUGGACAUGCACCUGGGUCAGGACUCUGGGCUGGAGGAGACCCAGGGAGCCGGAGGUACUGGAGCCCUGCUCCAUCAAGGUGAGGCAGCAGGUCUGAGAUAUAUGUGAGCUGCUGCUGCGCCGGGUCCCUAAUUAAACCUCCUGAGUGGAAUGGCUACUGCUUCCCUUCUGCCUUCCAAUCUUCUCACAGAUUUCUCUUGUUGCCAGCUUUAAUCUGGAACCAUAGAGGAAGGAACUUUGGGAAAUGUGGUUCCUGCUUAGUUCUGGUGGCACAGCACAAGUCACUGCCGAGGGGUCCCCAUGUGGAUUGGAUGGGUUAAAAGCUUCAGCACCUGUAGUGGCCUGUGCAGUCUACUUGCUCUGACAUUUCAAGCCUGGAGAGGCAAGGGGGACAAGAGCUGAGCUGAGGGCCAUGCCAGGGAACUGGACAAGGAAGGCCUUGGCACUCUCAAGUCAGGGAAUAGCCUCGCCAUUUCAUCUCAUCCCCAGAUGCUGGAGUGCGUUGGUCUCCCUUCUAACCUCUAACCACUGAAAGGGACCCUCUGUACAACCAAUCCUUGACUUUGGAAUCAUGGGCUGAGUAAGGCUGAAACAUUUAGCCGUCUUUGGGACCCCAGUAUUUCCCUAGUCUCACUCUAGUGUCUCUUGAAGUGGCUGUCUUUCAAGGUGUUGACCCUACUCCCUGUUUCUAACAUCUGCCUGCUACAUAAUCCAGCUGGACUUCUCAGGUAUCCCUGGUGGCUGAACUCCUUAGACCAGGGAGCUCCCCUAGUGCCUCUAGUGCUGACAAAGUGCCACUUUGCAACAGUUUCUGCCCUUUUCCCGGUUCUCUGGCUUCUAAAGCCUUCAUUUAUCCACAGAUAGAAAUACAAUCAAUCCCAUCCUUACUCUUUCUUUUGACAAUUUUCUUCAUCAGAUAUACACUUAGAAUUUAACUCAACUGUGUUCUCUCCUAUUUUGUCGGUCACUGCUGUAACUUACAUGGAAUCAUGGUUGGGUGGCAGGGACUGAAGUAGUUAGUUCUCACUUAUUUACUGUGAAAUGAAUAGUUUGAGAUUCGGUCAGUAGUCAGAAUGGUAUUCUUCACUUCCUCCUUUUCUUUAUUUACUAUGCUACCUGGUUUGUGAACAUUUUCUCCAGCUGCAAGCAAUUUACACAAACUGUAAACUCUUUAUCCAUUAUAAUCCCUGUAACUAUGCCUAGAGACUGGAAAAUGACCAGUUGUCAUUACAUUCGGAAAAGCAUAGAAAGGAUCUCCUUACUUGUGGCCCUACACCUGGUACUUUUCAGAUAGUAGAUGAGUUAUUAGGAUGAUUUGCACCUCAGUUUUCUUAUCUGUAAAAUGGGAGGGUUGCCUUGCAUUUCAUGCUGUGUUCUUUGAUGCCCUGGGGGAUUGCCGGAUUGCCAGAGGACUCAUUGGGAAUUUGGGGAUGGGGAAGAGCAUGUGUCUAGAGGGCCUUCAUCCCUCAUUCAACUAGCAAAAAGCCACUUAUUCUGUGUUAUAUAUUUGGUUUCUAUGAGAGAUUGGAUUAUUGGUCAGCAAUAAAAAUCACUCCCUUCCUUCUUCCUCUUGGAGCAGACCGUAACUCCCCUGUUCUACUGACUUUGGGCUUGGCUAUAUGACUAACUUUGGCCAAUGAAAUGUGGGAGGAUGUGAUGUGAAUAGAGGCUUUAAAUGUACUUGCAUGGUUUGGCUUACCUCUUGUACUCUUCUGUUUGCUGUGAGAAUAUGCUGCAGGGAGCCACUGGUCCAAGGAGAAGAAGAGGGGUGUAGAACAGACCUAAACCCAACCUGUAGCCUGAAACAGAGCCGAGUCCAGCCUAGAUCCACUUAUAGUCAACCUGUUGAUCUGUUAGCACAAAAACACAUGCUGCCAUAAGCUGUUGUGUUUUGUUACACAGCUAUAGCUGUCUAAUUCAGCUUACAAAUAAGUUUUGUCCAUAAUCAUAUUUUUUGGUUUAAAAAAGUUUGAAAACCACUGGGUUUGCUGAGUUUUCAGCUUUCCCAUCCACUUCUACUGUCCUGUUUCUUUCUCUUUGUGUAUUUAGGAAAGAGAGGGAGAAAGAAAGGGUUUUGGAAACAACACAGUCUGGUAGAAAGAAAGAAAGGAUAAUUUUUUUCUUUUGAGGAAAGAGGGACUUAGGGAGCUGGGAGGAGAGAUAGGCACAUUCAUAGUUAAAGUAUGUUUUGUUUCUUUUUUGAACCCUCAAGUAAACAUUUCUCCACUGACAUUGUUUUGCACUGUUACAUUAUUUUGUUCACUUUAGUGUUCCAUUUGUACAACCUCUGAAAUUCCAGGAAGAAGGUGAAAGAAUAACAUUGCACAUAGCCCUGGGUUGUGCUGUGUUUACUUCAUGAUGGACCGUUCACUUGGGCUUAACCUUAAACUGACCUUUCUGAUUCCAGACGAGACAGCAAAGCUUUGCUCACAGAUUCAAAAUCAGGGAACAGAAACAGCUGACUUCCCUGGCCAAGGAUGUUUUCCAUUCUCAUUAUUUUUGUCCGUGGUCACAAAUGAGAUGCUAGGGAAGUAAUUUUUAGGAAUUCCUGGAGUACUUUACUUCUGAUGUGCAUGCACAGAUACCCUGGGGUCUUAUGCAAUUGGUACCCCACCCCAAAGUCUGGAUAUAUUCGUUGUAGGAUGAAGAGAGGGAGGAAGGAAGGAGGACUGAGGAAGGUCUUAGGCUAUUUUCAAGCUCUUUUUUGCUCCGCACUUUGCAACAUGGUUUUAUUUUAUUCUUAUAAGUUUUGAGAUCAUCUCAAAUAUAAAUACAAAACCAUUGAUCAAAGGCCAAGAAUAAGAAAUAUUUAGAUGCCCUCUAUUGCAGUGAAAAAGCAAAUGGUUGCUAUAUCAUGCGUAAAGGUAAUCUCUUCAAGGAUUAGCACUUUAGGUCAGAUCAUGGAAGCCUGGUUUUGUUUCUCAGAAAGAGUGUCUUUCUGGGGCUUGGGAGGCCAACACGAGGCAGGCUGAGCUUUGUCUAUGGCAGGAGCUGAGUUUGAGUCUAUCUCUGCCAUUAGCCUGUGCUCAGGUUGUGUCCCUACACUGAUGGCCAUCAGAAUUUGGGUAUCAAGUGAUUCGCUUGCUUGUACUAGAUUGAGCUCCUUUGAGGACAACAGGAGCCAUUAAUAUUUUAGAGCCAGAGGCCAGGCAUGGUGGCUCACGCCUGUAAUCCCAGCACUUUGGGAGGCUGAGGCGGGCGGAUCACAAGGUCAGGAGAUCGAGACCAUCCUGGCUAACAUGGUGAAACCCCAUUUCUAUGAAAAAUACAAAAAAUUAACUGGGUGUGGUGGUGUGCACCUGUAAUCCCAGCUACUUGGGGGGCUGAGGUGGGAGAAUCACUUGAAUCCGGGAGACAGAGGUUGUAGUGAGCUGAGAUCACACCAUUGCAUUCCAGCCUGGGCGACAGAGCGAGAUUCCAUCUCAAAAAAAAAAGAACUUAGAAUCUGGACUGGUAUAAGCCUUAAUUCAAAUGCCAUCUUUGCCCUGUACAAACUGUGUGACCUUGGGCAAAUAACCAGUUCUUUGUUUCUUCACCUGUAAAAUGGGGAUAAUUAGUACUUUUCUCAUAGGGAUGCUGUGAAGAGUCAAAGAUAUAAUGGUUGUAGAGUGCUCAUCACAGAGCCUGGCAUGUUGUAUCUGCUCAUAUAUGUUAGCUAUCACCAUCAUUGCUGCUGCUGCUGUUUUUAUUAAUCUAGUCCUGGGAAUUUAUAUCAUGGAAAAAAGCCAAAAAAGUUAUAUGCUUAAAAAUGUGUAUUGCAUCUUGUCUAUAGCAAUGAGAAAUUAGAAACAAUCUAAGUGCCUCAUUCAUUCAGUCAAUUUAACAAAUAUUUUUUGAAGUCCUAUUAUAUGCCAGGCACUGUAUCCCACUGUUUGGGGUACAUCACUGAAUAAGAGAGACAAAGAUCCCUGCUUUUGUGAUGGAGAAUGGGUAGCUAAACUAUGGGACAAUAAUUCAAUGGAAUGUUAUACAGCUAUUAAAGCAAUAGCAAUGAAGACAUGGGAAGUUGUUUGUCGUGUCAUGUAAAAUCAAAAAGCAGAAGAGGAAAACAUAGAUGCCUUAAAAUAUAUGUGUGGGUGGACAGAGACUAGAAUGGAGCAUUUAAAAAUGCAAGUGGUUGUUAGAGUGAUGGAAUCAUGUUUUUUGUUUUUCAGUAAUGUUUGAAGUGGUUUUACAACAUUAUGGAAAAAAUACAUAUAUAUGCAUAAAUAAUUGAGAAAAAUGAACUGGCCCUAAGAGAAGUUUCUUAUGGUUUAGGAAUCAAAGUAAGGCUUAUAGGCAGAAGAGGAAAUUGCCUAGGUAGCAAGGAAGGAAAAAUUGCUAUUUCAAACCAAAAAUGACUGUUGCAGUUCCACUGUGCACUGGAAGCAUGGAAUUCAUGCCAAGGAUGUUAGUUCUUUGUUAAGGAAAACCUGUUAAGCAGAUGAGUAAAAGAGGCCCUGAAGCCUCUGGAGAGAGGAGAGUUCAGACUUAAACGUCUUUGUAUAAUAAAGUAACAGAAGAUUUCCAUUUUCCCUCAGCAGUUUGGGGAUGGAAGGGAGAAAUAGAGAUUCAGAGGCUGGAGAACUGGGAGAAGAUGAGUAAAGGAAAGAGCCAGCUAAAGAGGUUGGAAGAGAUGAGGCCACAAUAGCAACUUGAAGAACACUGAUAACUAAUACUCAAUUUUAAGAGAUUCCCUGUCCCAGGAGACCAUAUGUCUCCCCACUCUUACCUUCCCUCAGGAGUCUCCAAGAGGGCACUGUACCCCCAUGGGAUAGGGGUUGUUAUGGUUUGGAUGUCCCCACCCUAAUCUCCUGUUGAAUGUAAUCCCUAAUGUUGGAGGUGGGACCUGGUGGAAGGUGUUGGGAUCAGGGGGGUGGAUCCCUCAUGAAUGGCUUGGGCCAUCCCCUUGGUGAUAAGUGAGCUCUGGCUCUGAGUUCACAGAAGAUCUGGCCAUUUAAUAGUGUGUGACACCUGCCCCCACCCCUCUCUGUCUUGCUCCUGGUUUCACCAUGUGAUGUGCAAGCUCCCACUUUGCCUUCUGCCAUGAGUAAAAGCUCCCUGAGGGCUCCCUAGAAGCCAAGCAGAUGCUGGCACCAUGCUUCCUGUACAGCUUGCAGCACUGUGAGCCUGAAACUUUUCUUUAUAAAUUACUGACUUUCAGGUAUUUAUAGCAAUGCAAGAAUGACCUAACACAGGGGCUUGGGUCAUUUUGUUUGGUUAUUAAAAGAAGGCUGAUGUCAUAGAAUAUUCAGGGUUCACCUACACAGGGGGGAUCUGAGGGGUCAGAAGCUACCUGUUUCAAAUUGACUGCUUUUGGGGCCUGAAAUGGCUUCAUUGCCACCACUAGCAAUAUGAUCUUUUGCAAAUAGACAAUCUAGGAUCCCUGAUUUUUUAGGUGCAGCAAGGUCUGGGAGAAGUGUUGCUCUUCCAUGAAGACCUUAAGGAGAAUGAUUCUGACAGAUCAUUGAUCUUCUGAGGCAGGAGGCUGAGCAGGUUUUUAUUAAUGGGUGGAGAAGGGAACAGUGAGCACACAGGAGAGUGAUACUGGGGCUUGGAGACUGGGAGGCGGGAGGCAGGUGGUGGGAGGAAGCCUUCUGCAGCCCAAAGUCUCUUAGGACAACUGGGGAGUGGUCUCUAGACUCUGAAUCCUGCUCCCAGGAGACCCUGUGGCUAUGCCCCUUUUGGGAAUGGUACUUAACUUAAAGGCCUGUAGAAUAACAACCUUGUAUGGCCUUGGAAAACCAAGGUGGGGGUGGGGAGGAGCUGUCUGCCCCAGGUGCAGGCUACAUUUAAAAAUGCUAAUAAAAUAAAGUAAAACAAACUGCUUUUUAUUAUCACCAUGUGCCAACAGUCAGUGAUAAACUACCCCUCCCUCCUGGGGCAGAUGGUUUGGGCCGUCCGCAUCCCCUAGUCUGGCCAGGCUGUGGGAUGGCAAACAGCCAAAGUAGGGGAUCCAGAAGGAGCACGUGCAGGAAGAAAACCCAGAUUCCUCACACUGGUAAAUAAGAGGCUUCUCAGGACUGAACUUGAAAAACAUGAGCCCCACCAAGGGCGGGACAAGAAAAUCCUCAGAAGACGGCUGAGCAGAGGUUAAGCAAACAUCGGUGCCAAGCCAGUGGCAGCUCGGAAAUGAAAGCCCAGAGAUGUGAUGAUUUUUAAGAGUUGAACUGAGCUGCAAGCUUGUGGAUCAUGUAAGUGCUAACAGAGGCAGACGGAGAAGGAAGAUCUGUCAUGAAGUGCUACGGUGGGAGGUGCGUCAGCUUGGGGUGGAGGGGUCCCAGGUGGCCCCAGGAGAAGAGGCCUCUGAACAAAGAAGACAAUGCUUGGGUUACGGUGGAAGGGACACGGAAGGGUCUGGAAUGCUGGAAGGAGCCAAGAGCAGAUGCCAUCUUGGUGAUGUGUUUCAUCUUCAGGACCUGAGACCCAUCUGGUCAAAUAUUUGUGUGUAUAUGCAAAAUUUUAGGUCAUUUGUUAAAAGGAGCUCAUGAAUACAUGUCCUUGACUUCCCAGAGAUGGAAAAAACACUUCUCUCCGCCAAAGAACUUCCAAAUAGUGCUUCUAGCCUAUGCUCCUCAUCAGUGUCCAUGUCUCUCAGAUGUCUCUAGUUUUGGUUGAGGAAUGAGGAAAUGUGGUUGCCUCCUUUUAUUGGCUGAUUCGUCUGCUGAGCUCCUAACUUCUUAGCUAAUCUAGGUGAAACCAACCCUUGUCCUGGACCCUGGGCUUUUGUGGAGGACUGUCUUACUGUUCACAAAUACUCCGCCUUUUCCAUGAGAAGCUAAUUUAUCCCUGCCUGUUGAAAUUGGGCAUGGACAAUGACUUGCUUGGUUGUCUAAUAAAAUGUGAGCAGAAAGGAUAUGCGUCACUUCUGAGCCAAAAGUUUUCAGAGCCAGUGCAUGGUUGGCCAUGUUUUCUCUUGCCUUUGUAGGCACACAAUAAAUGUUUGUUGAAAAAAGAUGAAUAAAAGGAAAGAGCCCCAAUUAGGAGCUGGGUUAGCUGAGGCCUAUUCCCAGAGUUUCCACUAACUAGCUGUGGCAUAAUCAUUUGGCUACUCUACUGGCCAUAAAUGGUUCUUUGUUAUUUUGAAAUGGAGUCUCGCUCUGUCACCCAGGCUGGAAUGCAGUGGCAAAGCCUCUGCUCACUGCAACCUCCACCUCCUGGGUUCAAGCGAUUCUCCUGCCUCAGCCUCCCAAGUAGCUGGGAUUAUAGGUGCACACCGACACACCUGGCUAAUUUUUAUAUUUUUAGUAGAGACGGUGUUUCACCAUAUUGGCCAGGCUGGUCUUGAACUCCUGAUCUCAAGUGAUCUGUCAGCCUUGGGCUCCCAAAGUGCAUAAAUGGUUCUUAAGAUUUCUUUUUUUUUUUUUUUUUGAGAUGGGGGAGGGUCUUGCUAUGUUGCCCAGGCUAGUCUUGCACUGUUGGGUUCAGGCCAUACUCCUGCCUCAGCCUUGGAGUAGUUGGGAUUAUAGACGUGAGCCACCAUGCCCAGCUCAGGAUUCUUUCAUUUCUAAAACCCUGUGCAGAUAUUGCAGAAGUAAAGUGAUGAUUUUUGGAUGCUUAUUGGAAGUCUUGUUCAUGCUGGUGAAUGGGGAAAAGACUUUGGGUGGGGGUAGGGAGCACUGAUUGGCAAGUUAUUUUGUGUUUUUAAAACAAAAAUCGCUCUUCAGGGUGGUGCACUAUUCCCAGAUUUUCUCUGGAAGCUGUGUUCCAACACCUUUCUCAGACUUCCCCACACUCCCCCUCAGGACAUCAGAAGGAGGGCCCCCGAAUUCAUUCUUGCAGCAAAGAGCCUCAAGACUCUGCUCAGACCAGGAAAUGAGGGACCUGUUCCUACAAAUUGCUGUCAAAAUGUAUUCUUAAUAUUUGUUCUCUGGAGUCACUGUUUUGGUGACCUCAGUCCCUGGAGGCUCCUCCUGGGGGCGAUAGGAUGCCUUCAGAGGGGAGCUGACAGCCCUGUGUUGUGUCUGGGCUCGCGGGAGGCCAUCGCUGUGUCCAUUGGAGCCAGAUGUUUUCCCAGCCCUUAACCUGCUGUGGUUUCUUAGCUCAACGUCUCCAGUGCGACUCUCCCAUAACACCCAGCGCCAUCUUGUAGACGCGCUCAUGCUUCCGGACCGCGGGCGCCCCACCGGGAAGAGCGCUCCACGCUGAAGAGGAAGGAAACUUCACACUUAAUUCAUCAAAUUCAAACUGAGCUGUGGUGAAAGGAACGGGGCAGAGUGAAAGGAACACCCAUAUGCCCCAGAAGACCCCGGGGCAUCGCUGCCUUUCAGCUUCUUUUGCGCUUUCUGCAGCUCGUGUCACAUUCCAAGGACACUCAGCUCCGCACAUGCACAGAGGGCCGCGUCUGUCCCGGGGGCGUGUUACCUAAAACCAGGCGCUGACCUCCAGGUCAGGAACUCUUGAGUAUUUAAUCUCUCCGCCGUUCAUGGCUACCCGGGUGGCCUCUGAAAUAUUACUUAAUGUCUCUGGGUUCUGAUUUCCUCAAUUGUGUGGUACCCAGUGACCUUACGAUGACAUUUCACUACCUACGAAAAAUGGCGCCAUCUGAAUGUUUAGUCUUUACCUAGAAGUAUAAGAAGGGGUUUCUUGCCUGGGAAUGAUCCUGUGAAGCUGAGGUCACAGUUUAUCUUCUCAAUUAGGGCAGGGAUUAGUACAACAGAAGGUCAUUCGUCAAGAAAAAGGAAAGCUUCUCCCUUUCCAAAAAUGCAAGUAGUGAAACUUACAUUUCUCACUUUUCCCUGAUUGCUCAGAACUAAAUAUAAAAUUUAAUUGGCAAGUAUUUUAGCACUUAUUUUUAACAUAUUUUCUUUUGGUCAUAAUUUUUAAUUUUAUUAACCUUACUGAUUUGACAGGGUCAAAUCUAAAUAAAUAAUAAUAUUUUAUUUAUUAUACAAUACAUAAAUUUCUGCAUAGCUUGAAGGGACCUUGUGGAUUGUUAAAUCCAACUAUGUAGUUUACAGAUUAAGCAGUUAAAGUCUGCAGAGAAGGGACAGGACUAAAUGUCAUCAGCUUGUUAGUUCCAAAGCUGGGUGGGAAAAGCAGUUCUUCCUUCUGAUUCUUAGACCAAUAAUUCAUUCCUCCAUUCCAUAAUGACGAUUCUUAGAACGUGACCUUACCUGUAACAGUAGGGACAAAGCAAGACAAUUGUCUUUGAGUUUCAGGAACAGACUUUUUAGAAUUAAAUAGUUUCAGGUACAUGCUAUAGGGAAUUCAGUUGAUUUGUCCUGGUUAGAAAGCACUUUGUUCACACCUAUACAUAUGACUCUAGGUUAUGGGUUCUUCUGGAGUCUUCUGAACCUGCUGGGCAUUUCUGACUGGAUGAAAAUUAACAAAAGUCUAUGUUCAUCCUGAUGAAAAUUAGCAGCAGUUCAUCUUAGUUUAAUUGCCACAACGUGCAGCUAUGAGAGUAUGUAUAUUUUCAUUCACGUAUUUGAAAUAUUUAUGGAUUGUCUGUUAUAUGACUAGUACUAGGGGUUCUAUAAAUUUACCCAUAUAAUGUGUAUGUGUUAAAUAUAUAUUAUUAAUAUGGGUAAAUGUAAUAUGUUUAUAUAGGUAAAUGUAAUCUAUUUGGUAUGUAGAUACACAAAUUUAGAGUAUAUAACAGAUAUGUUUCUGUAUAGACAUAUAUUUUGGAGACAUUCUGUUGUCUGGCUUCUUUAUAUUCCCAUAUGUGCUCAAUUUCUGUAUUCCCUUUCCUGAUUCAUCGUUUUCUUCUAGUAUUGAAGUAGAAUAAAGGCAACCAUGUAUUGUGGAGCAGGGGGUACACAACACAAUUUUCAAGGACUCAUUUCUACCUCUACAGCCAUGCACAGCAGCCUUGCAGUUCAAAUCACGAAGCUACCACCCAUCUGAUGACAUUUUGCUGUCCUAAUCGGAAAGGGUAGCUUUAGACAAAAUGAACCAUCUUUUGAGGGCUGAACUUGCAAAUAUGUUCGUGUGUGUGUGUGUGUGUGUGU